CAGUAGCGUAUAUUAAAGUUGUUGCAGUUAAAAAGCUCGUAGUUGGAUUUCUGACUUCAGAUACCUGACCCUCCCUCGCUAGAGGUGUGUGUGCCGGAGUAUUUGUAUCAUCCUUUCAGUGAUCGGCUCUACCCUUAACCGGGUCGGAGCUGCUAGCUGGAUCUUUUACUUUGAAGAAAUUGGAGUGUUUAAAGCAGGCUUACGCCAGAACAUAUUAGCAUGGAAUAAUAAUUUAGGACUUUUGUUCUAUUUUGUUGGUUUCUAGGACGAAAGUAAUGAUUGAUAGGGAUAGUUGGGGGUGCUAGUAUUCGGCGGCCAGAGGUGAAAUUCUUUGAUCCGCUGAAGACUAACUUAUGCGAAAGCAUUUGCCAAGGAUGUUUUCAUUAAUCAAGAACGAAAGUUAGGGGAUCAAAGACGAUCAGAUACCGU
rnacentral:rRNA from 1 species